ACCCAGGCUGGAGUGCAGUGGCCGGAUCUCAGCUCACUGCAAGCUCUUUUGAUUGUUCUUCAGUGCCUUCACGUAGUUAUUUAAAAAGUAUUUCCCAUGGUUUGUAGUUUUAUCUGCAGGAGAAUUAGUCCAAUAAGAGAUACUUGAUUGUCAUACUUAAGCAGCAAACAGUCUAGUUGCAGGGACAGGAGUCAAAUAUAGGGAGAAGCCAAAGAAUGACUUCAGAAGCAUAAUAUGAACAAAGGCAUGAUUCAUUCACGAAUUUAUUUAUACAACAAACAUUUUUUGAGCCUCUGCUGCAGGUAGGGUUCUUUUCAAGGCACAAGGUAACAUAAUGUUGAGUAUAGAUAGACAUUCUGUGGUCAUUCAAACUAAGAGAUCAUUUGCAACAAAUUGACUUCAGAGGAGAUUUGGAAAAAAAAACUCUAGUAAACCAGGAUUAGGCAUCUUCUGAGGGCAUAAAAAGUGUGUACAUUUUUACUUUCCUACAGGGUCCCCACCAGAUACAUACACAUGGCUAUUGAGUACUUGAAAUGUGGGUAGUCUGAAAUGAUCUGUGCUGUGGCAUCUGUGCUGUGCCUGUCAUUCAUCGAGAACAGUUUGUUUUCUGCUUAUGGAAUCACAAAAAUAUUUAAUCUGAAGCUUCAGUGGUGCAGCCAUCCUUUAGGCUGUAGACCACAGGAUCCUUCCUUCUCUGUCUGAAUGCACUGGAGGGCCAGGAUUCUUGGAGGUGGCCAGGGUCCUUUGAGAAGCCAAUGCCCAAGUGGUAUCUGAGUCCAGUGAACGGCAACCCCAUCUCUGAAUCCUUGACAACCUUGAAGGAUAAUCUUAAGACCAGAAGACCAUAAUAAAGUGAAACCAUAAGGGAAGAGCAGCUUGGAUCCCUGAAAUCCCUGAAUCGCUACUUGGAAGAGAGUUGUCUAGGAGAUCUAUGAACCCACAUAGAACUUGGGGUAUGCUGUGGACUGAGUUAUGUCUUCUAUAUUCAUGUGUUGAAACCCUAAUCUCCAGCUAACUGACUACUGUCUUUGGAGACAGGGUCUAUGUGGAGAUAGUUAAGGUGAAACGAGGCCAUAAGGUUAGUGCUCUUACCUCACAGGAUUAGUAAAAAGAGGCACUGGAGAGAUUUUCUCUCUUUCCACCCACUCCCCCAAGUGCACACCCUGAGUAAGGGCCCUGUGAAGACACA